rnacentral:SRP_RNA from 1 species
GCCAGGUGUGGUGGCGCAUGCCUAUAAUCCCAGCUACUUGGGAGGUUGAGGCAGGAGAAUCGCUUGAACCCGGGAGGCGGAGGUUGCAGUGAGCCGAGAUCACGCCACUGCAUUCCAGCCUGGGUGACAGAGCAAGACCCUGCCUCAA